GACGAACGCUGGCGGCGUGCCUAAUACAUGCAAGUCGAGCGAAGUUUUUCUGGUGCUUGCACUAGAAAAACUUAGCGGCGAACGGGUGAGUAACACGUAAAGAACCUGCCUCAUAGACUGGGACAACUAUUGGAAACGAUAGCUAAUACCGGAUAACAGUACUUCUCGCAUGGGAGAUAUUUAAAAGUUGGUUAUGCUAACACUAUGAGAUGGCUUUGCGGUGCAUUAGCUAGUUGGUGGGGUAAAGGCCCACCAAGGCGACGAUGCAUAGCCGACCUGAGAGGGUGAUCGGACAGACGGGGACUGAGACACGGCACAGACUCCUACGGGAGGCAGCAGUAGGGAAUCUUCCGGAAUGGGGGAAAGCCUGACGGAGCAACGCCGCGUGAGUGAAGAAGGAUUUCGGUUCGUAAAGCUCUGUUGUUAGGGAAGAAUGGAUAUGUAGUAACUAUACAUGUAAGAGACGGUACCUAACCAGAAAGCCACGGCUAACUACGUG
rnacentral:rRNA from 1 species